AUGAGCUUGGAGGAACACUCUUCCCCAAGCCUGCAGAUGGAAGCACAGCCAGCCCAACAUCUCGAUUUUGGCCUUGAGACUCUGAGCAGAGAACCUAAUCAACCCCGCCCAGGCUUCCCACCUACCGAAAUGGAGAUAAUAACAACUGUUGUUUUAAGUCACCAAAUGUGUGGUAAUCUUUUAUGCAGCAAUAGAAAACUAAUAUACAUAGCAUCUUUAAAAGCCUAUGAAAACCAUGGAGAGUAUAUUGCAAGGAAGAUAGACUCGGGAGAUGACACCAGCCUCAGGAGUCAUUGCUGUUUUCUGUACAAGAAAUAAUGUGAGAUUUAAUCUCCCUCUUUUUAAACCUUCCUGAAUUUUUCUUCACCUUUACUAAGUAAAUAGCUAUCAUGCAGUAUCACCUCCCUCCCUUCUGUGAGUCACUUAAUGAAGACUUGCCUGUACACCUCAUUGGCAAUUUGUUUUUCAGUCACAAGGUGACAGUUUUGGUUCAUUUAACAAACAACCAAUUUCGAACCAUUGAGAAACCAUCUGGGAAUGCUGUUCUCUUGAGAUAAGAAUGUUGUUUUCUAAUUGGUCUCUUUUAUAGAAACUGUGUUUCUUCUUUCUACACAAUGCUUACGACUGUUUUGUGGCAAGAGGAAUUCUGAACGUUGAUGUCGGUGACGCUCACUUUAAAUGCCUGUGGCAUUAGUGCAAUCUAAUGAAAAGCUACUGUCUGGCAUUCCCAAUGGCCACUGAAUUCAUUAGCUUUUAAGACAAUCCACAGGGAAACACUUAAACAUGUAUAAAAGCCACUAUGCAAAAUACAGAUUUGAUUAUUAAAACCUCUAAGACAUGAAGUACUAUUCUAUAUGUUGGUUUUGUUUAGAUAUGAUGCUUAUUGAACAUAAUUUCAGGACUAUUUUAGGCUCAAUAUUUGCAUUUCAGUUUCACAUAAAAAUGUUACAUAAUGCAUUAAUGCAUUUUAUAAUGUGUUAAAGAGAUUGAUACCAAUUCAUGCCUACUGGUUAAAGAGUGGGGUUUAUACUUUCUUGAUCCAGUUUUAUCUUGUUUUUUUGAGACAGUCUUGCUCUGUUGCUCAGGCUAGAGUGCACUGGUGCGAUCUCAGCUCACUGCAACAACUGCCUCCCAGGUUCAAGCGAUUCUCCUGCCUCAGCCUCCUGAGUAGCUGGGAUUACAGGAUCCCACCACCACACGUGGCUAAUUUUUUUUUUUUUUNNNNNNNNNNNNNNNNNNNNUGGAGUUACAGAUCCACCACCACACGUGUCUAUUUUUUUUUUUUUUGUAUUUUUAGUAGAGACGGGGUUUUGCCAUGUUGGCAAUUUUGGUAGCUCCUGACCGCAGGUGAUUCACCUGCCUCAGCCUCCCUAAGUGCUGGGAUUACAAGUGUGAGCCACUGUGCCUGGCCUCAGUUAUUUGUUUAUUCACAUUGUUUUUAAGAGACAAGAGUCUUGCUCAGUCACCUGGCCUGGAGUGCAGUGGUGUGACCAUAGCUCAUUGCAACUUCGAACUCCUUGACUCAAAUGAUCCUUCACUUCAGCCUCUCUAGUAU
ensembl:lincRNA